rnacentral:rRNA from 1 species
GUUGUUGGGUAGGGGAGCGUUCUGUAAGCCUGUGAAGGUGGCCUGUGAGGGUUGCUGGAGGUAUCAGAAGUGCGAAUGCUGACAUAAGUAACGAUAAAGCGGGUGAAAAGCCCGCUCGCCGGAAGACCAAGGGUUCCUGUCCAACGUUAAUCGGGGCAGGGUGAGUCGACCCCUAAGGCGAGGCCGAAAGGCGUAGUCGAUGGGAAACGGGUUAAUAUUCCCGUACUUGGUGUUACUGCGAAGGGGGGACGGAGAAGGCUAUGUUGGCCGGGCGACGGUUGUCCCGGUUUAAGCGUGUAGGUGUGUGUUCCAGGUAAAUCCGGUUCACUUUAACACUGAGGCGUGACGACGAGGCACUACGGUGCUGAAGCAACAAAUGCCCUGCUUCCAGGAAAAGCCUCUAAGCAUCAGGUAACAUCAAAUCGUACCCCAAACCGACACAGGUGGUCAGGUAGAGAAUACCAAGGCGCUUGAGAGAACUCGGGUGAAGGAACUAGGCAAAAUGGUGCCGUAACUUCGGGAGAAGGCACGCUGACAUGUAGGUGAAGUGAUUUACUCAUGGAGCUGAAGUCAGUCGAAGAUACCAGCUGGCUGCAACUGUUUAUUAAAAACACAGCACUGUGCAAACACGAAAGUGGACGUAUACGGUGUGACGCCUGCCCGGUGCCGGAAGGUUAAUUGAUGGGGUCAGCGCAAGCGAAGCUCCUGAUCGAAGCCCCGGUAAACGGCGGCCGUAACUAUAACGGUCCUAAGGUAGCGAAAUUCCUUGUCGGGUAAGUUCCGACCUGCACGAAUGGCGUAAUGAUGGCCAGGCUGUCUCCACCCGAGACUCAGUGAAAUUGAACUCGCUGUGAAGAUGCAGUGUACCCGCGGCAAGACGGAAAGACCCCGUGAACCUUUACUAUAGCUUGACACUGAACAUUGAGCCUUGAUGUGUAGGAUAGGUGGGAGGCUUUGAAGUGUGGACGCCAGUCUGCAUGGAGCCGACCUUGAAAUACCACCCUUUAAUGUUUGAUGUUCUAACGUGGACCCGUUAUCCGGGUUGCGGACAGUGUCUGGUGGGUAGUUUGACUGGGGCGGUCUCCUCCUAAAGAGUAACGGAGGAGCACGAAGGUUGGCUAAUCCUGGUCGGACAUCAGGAGGUUAGUGCAAUGGCAUAAGCCAGCUUGACUGCGAGCGUGACGGCGCGAGCAGGUGCGAAAGCAGGUCAUAGUGAUCCGGUGGUUCUGAAUGGAAGGGCCAUCGCUCAACGGAUAAAAGGUACUCCGGGGAUAACAGGCUGAUACCGCCCAAGAGUUCAUAUCGACGGCGGUGUUUGGCACCUCGAUGUCGGCUCAUCACAUCCUGGGGCUGAAGUAGGUCCCAAGGGUAUGGCUGUUCGCCAUUUAAAGUGGUACGCGAGCUGGGUUUAGAACGUCGUGAGACAGUUCGGUCCCUAUCUGCCGUGGGCGCUGGAGAA